rnacentral:rRNA from 1 species
UUCUGGCUCAGGAUGAACGCUAGCGGCAGGCUUAACACAUGCAAGUCGAGGGGCAGCGGGAUGUAGCAAUACAUUGCCGGCGACCGGCGGAUGGGUGCGUAACGCGUAUGCAACCUACCUUAUACAGGGGAAUAACCUUUCGAAAGGGAGACUAACACCCCAUAGUAUUGAUUUAAGGCAUCUUAGAUUAAUUAAAUAUUUAUAGGUAUAAGAUGGGCAUGCGUAUGAUUAGCUAGUUGGUAAGGUAACGGCUUACCAAGGCGACGAUCAUUAGGGGUUCUGAGAGGAAGGUCCCCCCACACUGGUACUGAGACACGGACCAGACUCCUACGGGAGGCAGCAGUGAGGAAUAUUGGUCAAUGGGCGCAAGCCUGAACCAGCCAUGCCGCGUGCAGGAAAAGACGGCCUUAUGGGUUGUAAACUGCUUUUACAUAAGACUAACCGUAUAUUUGCGAAUAUACCUGAAUGUAUUAUGAGAAUAAGGAUCGGCUAACUCCGUGCCAGCAGCGGC